GAUCCUGAGAAGGUUUUGUUGAGUUCGGGACAGUAUUUCUUUACCCAUCCUUCAUGAAGAUAAAAAAUGAGGCAAAAUAGACACUAAAAUGGUCUCUGACAUCUCCUCAUGCCACCAGACAAGGAGUAACCAUGGUAACAAGAAGCCUAGAAAAAUUGGGGAAUGAGGAAGACCAGGAAUGAGAGCUCCCCUCAGCCCUGGGGGGACCUGAGUGUCCACAGCUGAGCCUUCUCUGCUUCCCUUUUCUCUUCUGGAUUCUGAUGGAGGAUAUUUUCAUCUUCCUCCCAAAAUCAUCAGAAAGCAUAAGGACAUAUAUAAACCGCUUUGCAAAAAGAGAGUGUAUGGAAUAAAAGAGAAAAUGAAGAAGAGGAGAAAGGCUGGAGUGCAAUGGUGUGAUCUCAGCUCACUGCAGCCUCAACCUCCCUGGCUCAGGUGAUUCUCCCACCUCAGCUUCCUGAUUAACUGGGAUUACAGUUGGAGUCUCACUCUGUAGCCCAAGCUGCAGUGCAGUGGUGCGAUCUUGGCUCACUGCAACUUUCACCUCUGGGGCUCAAGCGACUUUCCUGCCUCAGCCUCCCAAGUAGCUGAGACUACAGGUGCAUGCCACCACACCCAGUUCAUUGUUUUGUAUUUUUAGUAGAGACGGGAUUUCAUCAUGUUACCCUGGGUGGUCUGGAACUACUGAGCUCAGGCGAUCCACCCACCUCAGCCUCCCAAAGUACUGUGAUUACAGGUGUGAGCCACCACACCCGGCCUCUUCUUAUUUUUACAGGAAAAAAAAAUCCAGAUGUGGGAGCCUCUGUCUAUGUUGCUUGGAAUAUAUUGCAGUACAGUAGUGGCUAUGAUAGCCUUUUAAUAGAUUUUUACACCAUGAUCGAGCCCGUACACACACACGGAAAAGUUUAGGAGACCAUGCAUCAUUAUGUGCAUUGCAUUGAAAUAUUUUUUUUUCCAGUUCCUUCCUUCUUUUCUUCUUCCUCAGUGCUUGCUUGUAGAGGCUCAGUACAUUAAUUUCAUGAGCCAAAUGGGUCCUAAUCCAAAAUUUGAAAAACCCUGCUAAGAGAAUGACGCUGCAGCUACUGUAGCCUAUUAACCAGCAAGAAGGUCCUGGGCCCCUGACAUGACGGUCUGGUGUAAUCUUGACUGGACCAGGAAUACUUAGUUCAUGUGGGGAAGGGACAGGAAAUGAAAGCUUUGGUAACUUCAGAAGCUCAACCCAUCAUUGAAUUGCUACUGACCCAGGAAUGGAUCUUUAUUGAGGUUGUCAGUUGGUCGCUAGACUCCCUGGAAAGGCUCAAGGUAGAAAUGAACUGUUUCAAACCAAGCAAGGCUGAAAAAUAGGCCUUUAAAAUCCAGACAACAUGGGUCCUGAGACAGCUAGUGUCUGCGUGGCUUUUCCCGGCCCCCAUGUCCACCCUAUCUGAUGUUGACAAUCCCGCAGUUUCACUGCCACCGUCAUCGACAAAUCUUUGCCUUGUUUGCAUGAAGUUUGGAAAUUAGUCCUUAUUUUACUUCAGAAAAACCACAUCAGCGCAUGGAGAUGGUUCGUCUUGCACUGAGGCUCUCACGAGCCUUACUGCCUGCGAAGACUCUGACUCCAGAAGCGGUUCUCCAUCCGUAAUGGAAAGUCGACAUAGAGGCCAGGGGAGGCGAGGCAGGGCUGGAGCCAUGGACCUCACCUUUGAGGACCAAGAAUGUCUUUCAGUGAGGAGAGGGGCCCACUCACACAGCCUGCCUGCCAAAUCGCAGAACUCUGUAGGACACAGGUGUGAACAUGAGAGUACUUUUCUAAACUCUUGACUGCUGUGCUCCCCCUUUUGAUCAAGAGUCAAAAGAAAAACAAUUUGCUAUGUUUUGCAUCUUCUAUGACUGGGCAAAGUACAUGGAGGUUGACAUGAACAGUGUCAUGUUUAGGUCCCUGAGAACUGAGACCAGAACAAACAAAGGCUUUUAGCUUUCGUGAGAGCCCUAUCCAGUGUUCAUUUUAAUAACAGCGAUCUCAGAAGUAAACUGUCACUUUAUAAAAGCGAUUGUCCAUCAUUCGGUUACCUGGGGCUCAUCCAGACCCAAAGGCUUUGGGAUGGCCAAAGCCAGAAGCACCCCCCGGUCCUGUGUGGUCACCAUGGCUGAGGCCAAAACAAAAAGGUCAUCAGCUUCUAUUUCUCAUCUAGGCAUCGGUCUUCUGAACUUUAUUUAUUGAAUUUACUAGACAUCCAGAUGAACAAUAAAACUCUCUUUUACAUUUGAAAGGUCAAAUCAAGAUUAAGUGAGUUAGAGGAGCAUUAAAGAAUAUCCCUGCAACUGCUCACGAAGUACUGGUGUUGUUUAGGGUUUGUUCUCUGUGCAUGGAGACUCAGCUGGUCACACAGGAAACUUUGUAUAUUCUUAAGUCAAUGCAUUCAUUAAAAAUAACGAAGCUAUUAUCUAUUUCCAUCAUGCUCUGAUUGUACUUUACAGUAUUACAUUGCCACUCCUAAUUUCUCUUGUCUUAGGGCUUUAAUAUGUGAGCCUCUCCUCUGAGGGUAAAACCUCCAGCAGAGGAGGGAGACGGCUUUGCUGUCUCUCACUCCCCCAGUGUAUAGCACUGGGCUGUCCACAGACCAGCUUCCAGGAUAUGUUCAAUAGGUUUAUAAAUGUCUUCAAAAGGAAGGGGUUGUAUAUUCCUAACUCCUUCACAAACUAUUUGAAUCUCUUCAUCCGAUAUCACGUAAAUUUCUAGAACCUAAAUAAAAUGAAUGCUCAAGGAAA